rfam:Hordeum vulgare subsp. vulgare, WGS project CAJW01000000 data, contig: morex_contig_7454
CAUAUACUCCAUCCGACCCAAAAUUCUUGUCUUAAAUUUGUCUAGAUAUGUAUGUAUCUAGUCACGUUUUAGUAUUUUAAUACAUUCAUUUCUAAAUAAACCUAAAACAAGAAUUUUUGGACGGAGAGAGUACUAU